CUGGGGGUACAGGAAACUGGGCCAGCAGACCAAGCUUUGGAUGGGCUUUCCGUCCUUAGCUCACCGGCUUCCGGAGAUGGCGUUACGGAGUUUAUGCUUGCGUGUGUGCCUGCGGGGGUGGGGGGUGUGGACGCGUACGUGUGCUGUGCGAGGGGGAGUCUCCCCCUACCUUCGUGGGGAUCUGGGUUCUGGGUUGAGCUGUCUGCCCUCCCUAUCACUAUUCAUUGCCCUCCCUCAGCGGAGGCCAGGCCAAACUGUGCCAGGACCUGGUGGAUGGGGCAGGGAGCCUGCUCAGCAGAUAGCCCAACUGAUGGGGCCCAGGACUGGGCUUCGACAGACUCUUGUGGGCCACCCAGAAAGCCACGCCAGGACCAGCCCCAGCUGUUGGAUGGGCUCCCAGAGCCCAGGACAGUGUCCAGACCGAACUCCUGGGACCAAGCCAGCCCCUGGGGGGUCCUCGCCUCAUCCCACAGGAUGCAGUUGGUGAGGAAAAGGAGGUCCAAGGCUUCAGCCCAGUGAGGGUCAUCCUGAACACCCCCGGCAGAGACCAAAGGUUGCUACACCCUAGAGUGGGCAGGUGCCAUGUGGAGAGACACGUCCUGCUAUCCAGGCCCUCAGCCAGCUGCUGACAGGGCUGAGGGUCUGUAUUUAUUCAUUGUAUUGUAUUUAUUCAGUGUUCCUUUCUACUAACUGUACUAAUUUUUGCCCUAAAAUAAACGAGAUACACACA